AUUAAGUGCAGCCAUGAGUUUCUGCGUCCAAUUUUAAUCGUUCGUCUUAUUUAAAAUUUUUUUGUAAUUAGUAUUUUUGUUGUUAUAAGAUGAUAAAACAUGAAUAGUACUUUACUCGUGACUAAUUUUUUUUUAAAUAAGACGAAUGAUUAAAGUUGGACGUGGAAAACUAUUGCUAUAGUUAUU
rnacentral:pre_miRNA from 1 species